GAUAGAACGCUAGCGGGAGGCUUAACACAUGCAAGUCGAGGGGUAAAUGGCAGCAAUGCUAUGAGACCGGCGGACGGGUGCGUAACGCGUAUGCAACAUUACCUUGUGCGAGGGGAUAGCCCGUGGAAACGCGGUAUUAAUAUUCCAUAGAUCAGUAAUAUCGCAUGGUAUAACUGGUAAAGUUAAGGCGGCACAAGAUUGGCAUGCGUCUGAUUAGCUAGUUGGUAGGGUAACGGCCUACCAAGGCGACGAUCAGUAGGGGUUCUGAGAGGAUUAACCCCCACACUGGUACUGAGACACGGACCAGACUCCUACGGGAGGCAGCAGUGAGGAAUAUUGGUCAAUGGGCGCAAGCCUGAACCAGCCAUCCCGCGUGAAGGAAGAAGGCCCUACGGGUUGUAAACUUCUUUUCUGUUUGAAGAAUAAGCCCGUCGUGACGGGUGAUGCCGGUAGGACAGGAAUAAGCAUCGGCUAACUCCGUG
rnacentral:rRNA from 1 species